GUGAGUAACGCGUGGGGACCUACCUCUUAGUGGGGGAUAACGGUUGGAAACGACCGCUAAUACCGCAUACGCCCUUCGGGGGAAAGAUUUAUCGCUAAGAGAUGGACCCGCGUUGGAUUAGAUAGUUGGUGAGGUAACGGCUCACCAAGUCAGCGAUCCAUAGCUGGUUUGAGAGGAUGAUCAGCCACACUGGGACUGAGACACGGCCCAGACUCCUACGGGAGGCAGCAGUGGGGAAUAUUGGACAAUGGGGGCAACCCUGAUCCAGCCAUGCCGCGUGAGUGAAGAAGGCCUUCGGGUUGUAAAGCUCUUUCAGAUGCGAAGAUGAUGACGGUAACAUCAGAAGAAGCCCCGGCUAAUUUCGUGCCAGCAGCCGCGGUAAUACGAAAGGGGCUAGCGUUGUUCGGAUUUACUGGGCGUAAAGGGCACGCAGGCGGUCUUGCCAGUCAGGGGUGAAAGCCCGGGGCUCAACCCCGGAACUGCCUCUGAU
rnacentral:rRNA from 1 species